rnacentral:rRNA from 1 species
UACGUAGGGUCCAAGCGUUAUCCGGAAUUACUGGGCGUAAGCGCGCGCAGGCGGUCCUUUAAGUCUGAUGUGAAAGCCCACGGCUCAACCGUGGAGGGUCAUUGGAAACUGGGGGACUUGAGUGCAGGAGAGAAGAGUGGAAUUCCACGUGUAGCGGUGAAAUGCGUAGAGAUGUGGAGGAACACCAGUGGCGAAGGCGACUCACUGGCCCGGUACUGACGCUGAUGUGCGAAAGCGUGGGGAGCAAACAGG